rnacentral:snoRNA from 1 species
AUAUUUGUGGCAGCAUAUCCGAAGUAUAGUUCUUUCGAGUUUUUUCAAUGGUAUUGAUACUUUUAUUUUCCAACGUACUAAGAUCCAAUUUAAUAGCAAACAAUAUUAAAUCUUUGUCUAUUACUCACCAAGAUAUACCUGAAAUCUCUUUUGUGAGUUGGUUAUAUUGGUCCAUUUCACUGACAAACAU